UAUUAUUUUAAUAAAUUGAUAUUAUUAAGAAUAAUUAUGAGUUAGUAGUAAAGUAAAAAUAUUUAUUUAUUUUUUAAUAUUUAUUAUUAUAUUUAAGAUAAAUAGAAAACCUAAGAGCAACUCUCUCAACUUCUACCAUAAUCUCAAAUCUGAUCCCUUCUCUCUCAAAACUCCUUCAAUUUUAUUACUUAGGAGUAUUUCCUAUUUGAAAUUUGGAAUGUAUUCAACCUUGUUGUCCUCAUCAUCUUGAAUUGAAGCACCCUACUUAAAUCCAACCCUCUGUCUCAAAGUUCUCUCGUCCAAAUCCUAAAUCCGUCAGCUUUUUCAUUCCAAGCUACACAAGAGGAAGAAAAAAGCCCCAAAAAAUCCUGAUGUUUGGGUUAAGCCACGAGCUCAACUGACCUAUGAUUUUCACCAAACUCUGCCAGAAGAUAGUUGAGACCAGCCAUUUAACCAAGAGCAAAAUGAGAGAUACGGUUAGAUGCGGUUGGUAGCUCGAGUAGGUAUGGAUAUGCUUACGGCUUGCCUCAACAAACCUUUCGUGAAUUUCAUUCAGAAUUAGAAGGCCUCCGUAGUUCUCCGGAUGAUGAGUCAAGGGGGUCAAUUUUGGCUUCAAAGUAGCAGAUUGCUAAGCUAUCUAGCGAACCUAAGGCUUAGAUGGCUAAACAAAGACAAAGGGAUAUACAAUAUGCAGCAAUGAAGGCCCAAUUCUAUGUAUUACUUGCUUCGGGUGGGGGAUUCCCCCUUGUCCCAGUGAUGCAGUUCGUCCUCCUCGACCUCUCCAGUCUCUAUCUAUUUCACAUAGAGUAUAUGGUCAAUCCAGAGGUGUAACUGAGAAGCCCAACAGUGAUGAAGAUAAUGAGGUGUUGUGUUAGAUAAUCUAAACUAAUGUACUUUAUGGUGGUUUAUUUGAAUUAUUAAGUGUUUUUGAAUGCAUGGAAACUUUAAAGCAGUCUGAAUAAUAGUAUUGAAUAAAUAACUUGCUUCUAUGUUAUUUU